AGAAAAGAAUAAUUCGACGUCAGCAGUUGGAAAAAGCCUUUCCUCUCAAUGAUUUAAUGCGCUCUGUUCUCGAACUCCUCCAAGAUUAUUCAGAAACGCAUAAGAAACUCUACUUUUUGCAGUGGCUGACUCUGUUUUUUGACAAUCUGACUAUAGAACACCUGGAGAAGUUACACAAAAAGCAGAGAUCUUUGUGGUUAAUAGUACAAACAGAAAAGCAAAAAGCACAGAAGAGCAACUCCCUGACACUCUGGCACAAGCAGAUAGAAGCCAUCUCCACAGAGAUUCAAGACUAUACUUUAGGAAUUGAACACCUUCUCCGGGAAGUUGGCCAAAUCUAUGAAGCUCUGGAAGAAACUUCCUCCUCUAGAGAUAGCCUUUUUCUCUGCCUCCCUCAAAUUGCUGCAGACCUGAUGAUAGCUGGUGUUCCCAUUGAGCUGAUGGAUGGGGAUGCUUCAUAUGUGCCUCUAAGGUGGGUAGCAGCUAUUUUUGACAAGAUCACAGAGAAAGUUGGAGACAAAAGGCUGUUUGUUCUCUCUGUCCUUGGCCUGCAGAGCUCAGGGAAGUCUACCCUGCUGAAUACUCUGUUUGGUCUACAGUUCACAGUCAGUGCAGCCAGGUGUACCAAGGGUGCCUACAUGCAGUUCCUGAAAGUGGAAGAGACAUGUACAGAAGAACUUGGCUUUGAUUAUGUGCUUGUUGUAGACACAGAAGGGCUUUGGGCUCCAGAACACAACAACAAAUCCCAGAAGAGGGACAAUGAGUUGGCAACAUUUGUGAUUGGCCUUGGAAAUUUGACUCUGAUCAAUAUUUUUGGUGAGAAUUCCUCAGAGAUUCAGGACAUUCUACAAAUAUCUGUUCAAGCAUUUCUGAGAAUGAAACAAGUAAAAAUCUCUCCCAGUUGCCUCUUUGUCCAUCAAAAUGUGGGAGAAAUUACAGCAAAAGACCAAACUAUGGAAGAAGGAAGGAGACUUGAACAGAAACUGGAUGAAAUGACAGCAUUGGCUGCAGAGUUGGAAGACUGCUCAAACAUAACUCACUUUAGUGAUGUAAUUAAGUUUGAUGCCACUUCCCAUAUCUACUACUUUGCUCACCUCUGGGAUGGCAAUCCCCCAAUGGCCCCUCCCAAUCCUCACUAUAGCUACAAUGUCCAGGAACUACGGAAUGUAAUUCUUUCAAACGCCCAGAAGGAAUCUAGGGGAAGGAUCUUAAAAAUCUCAGAUUUUAAAUUCAGAGUACAAGAUUUGUGGAAAGCUCUUGUCAAUGAAAACUUCAUUUUCAGUUUCAGGAACACCCAAGAGGUCAUAGCCAUGAGCAAACUGGAAACCAUGUAUAGUCAAUGGAUCUGGGAGCUAAGGAGUCAUGUACUGGACUUAGACAAUCAGCUGAACAUUCAGAUUCAAAAUGGUAAAAUCCUGACACUCACAUCUAAUUUACUGGAGGAUCCACUUAGCAAGAAAUAUGAAACCAUCAAAGAACAAUUUGACAAAUAUUUUGAAAAAGACCCAGAUAGUGAAAUAUUGUUUCAGUGGAAAACAAAUUUUGAACACAAGCUACAAAUCCUUAAAGACACACUUAUUUCAGACACCAGACGGAAAUGCAAUGAACAUAUCAGUCUUAAAAAAAGCCAAGAAAUACUUGAUAACCGAAAGUCACAAUAUGAAAAUCAGUUGUUAGAGAGGAGCAGAAAAUUAGCUUUCAAUUUGAAGGGUAAGGAAUUAAGUGAUGAAGAGUUGCAUGAGAAAUUCAGUCAACUUUGGACAAGUUGGAUUUAUAAUGUAUCUUCCAAUGUUCCUCAUGUCACAGAGCCUAACAUUGAUUUGGACUCCGAAAAUAUCCUUCUGGAGUAUUUCAAGAAGGACAAAAAUAUUGUGGAAAGACUAAAAAUAAAGUCUAGAGAAAAGUUUGAAAUCUUGUAUGACAAACAUAUUCAAAUGAAAAAAAGAUACCAUUUACAUAGAAAGAGUUCAGAAACCUGUCAUGUUGAAUCCAUCAAAAAGACCACCAACAACAUUUGGUUAAAAUUUUCAGAAACACUUAAAAACAUUUGGAAGCAAAAGCGUGAUUACAGUCACAAUUACUUUCAUGAAAUCUUGAAGAUCAUAGAAAAUGAGCUGAAAUCUGAACCCUGUGAGGGAGACUACACAUUUACCAGAGACUACAUCAUUGACUUAUCCUUGUACUUAUUCCAAAGAGCAUCCAAGGAUUUCAAGAAAAUGCACGAGGCAUUCAAGACUGCAAAUGACCCUGUGAACUAUCUGGAGAGAAAGAAAGACCAUUUUUUUAUUAGUUUUAAGAUCUCCUGCCAAGGUGCCACCGCAAUCACAUCCUUUGUUGACUUCCUAUGGCGCAAGCUCACUCCUGCUAUCUCUGCCACCAUAUGGAAAAUAAUAGCUCAAAAAUUAGCUGGAGACAUGCGAGCCACCUGCCCUAAAUUCAAUCGAAACAGAGCUAACCUGGAGAAACAUACAUUUGGCUCUAUAACAGAACAAAAUAAGCCUGAUGUGUUUGGGGAAUUAAUAGAUUCCCUUUACACGCUUUGCCUUAGAUACCACAUUAAGAGUUACUGUUCAGAAAAAGGAAAUGAAAAAAUAAAAACUUUUUUAAACCUAAGUUUAGGUGACAUCAAGAAUACCAUCCUGUCUGCCAUUCAUAACUCCACAAAGGUAGCUAAAGCUAAAGGCAGCACUGCAUCUGGCUGGCUGGAUUUGUUCUGUGACCACCUAGGGAGCAACCUCAUCUUCCCAAGGAGAGACCUGGUAAGCAUAGAGCACCAGGAGCUAAUUGAUACUGAGUUUCUUAAAGAAGCCAUGAGCAAAGCUUUGGAUCCUGCAAUGAGGAAAGUAGAAGAAGAUUGUUCAAGUAAGCACAUAGAUGAAAUUGUUCCUGACAUUGAGAAAAUUCUCUGUGAUCAUCGCUGUGGCUGCUGAAAACAGUGUCCUUUUUGUAAUGCAAUUUGUACAAACACUAUUCCCCAACAUGAAGGAGACCACAGUGUGCCAUUCAACUGUCCUCAGGCUGUCAAUGGUGUUUGUUAUUAUGAAACAGACUACUUCAUCAUUGAUCUUUGUUCUAGUGUUGUAGCAAGUGAUUCUUUCUUCAUUUUACAUGACCGCCGGAAAUUCCCAUACAAGAAAUAUUGAGAAGCAGGAGGUGAAUAGGCCACAUGGAGCAUCACCCCAGACUCAUCCAACCAGCCAUAUUGGAAAUGGUUUGUCUGUCAUUUCAGAUCAAAGCUAGAAAAGAAAUAUGGCAAAAAAAUUACAGGAAGAGGUAGUAUUCCAGAUUCAAGGACCAAAAUCACAAAGCAAGAAGUCCUGCAUGACUUAAAACUUAAAAUGUUCUUGUAAACUUUAUAUGCGCUAAUACAGGGGAAUGACAGGGCCAAGAAGUAGGAGUGGGUGGGUUGGGGAGCCGGCUGGGGAGAGGAUAUAGGGGACUUUCGGGAUAGCAUUUGAAAUGUAAAUGAAAAAAUAUCUAAUAAAAAAUUGAAAAAAAUA
rnacentral:lncRNA from 1 species